GGGGAUAUAGCUCAGUUGGUAGAGCUCCGCUCUUGCAAGUGGCGGAUGUCAGCGGUUCGAGUCCGCCUUAUCUCCA
rnacentral:tRNA from 1 species